GGCUAUGUGGUGUAACGGUUAAAUUGCCUGCCCGCCCGGACUAGAAUGUCGCAGGUUCAAUUCCUGCCUUAGCCU